rnacentral:lncRNA from 1 species
CAUGGUAGCUUGGACUGGUCAGGCAGCCUUGAGAAGGGUGGUCUUGGGAUGCCAUCUGAAGUCGGCUACAGUGGUCGGAGUGUGGGCUCCAGUGCAGGGGCCUGUGCAGAAUGUCAGAUAUUUAGCUUCCUGUGGUAUACUGAUGAGCAGAACUCUUCUACUACAUACCUCAAUUUUGCCUAAGGAGAUAUGUGCAAGAACUUUCUUCAAAAUUGCGGCACCAUUAAUAAACAAAAGGAAAGAAUAUUCAGAGAGAAGAAUUUUAAGACAUUCAAGAAACAUGAAGGAAAUGCAUGAUCUAGUAUCAGGAAUAGAGGAUUACAAGCAUUUCAUUCCUUGGUGUAAAACAUCAAAUGUAGUAUCAAAGACAUCCGGAUAUUGUAAAACACAAUUAGAAAUUGGGUUUCCACCUGUGUUGGGGCAAUAUACAUCAGUAGUAACCUUGGUGAAACCUCAUUUUGGAAAGGCAUCCUGUAUUGAUGGGAAACUUCUCGAUCAUUUGGAGACUGGUGUUUUAGCCCAGGUCUUCCAGGCUACUGAAAAAUGUGUACCUCUGAUUUUUCAAUUUCUUUUGAAUUGCAAUCUCUUCUACACUCUCAGCUUGCCACAUUGUUUUUUGAUGAAGUUGUAAAGCAGAUGGUAGCUGCCUUGAAAGAAGAGGAUGUAAGUUGUAUAGUCCAGAAAUAAAUAUACCUCAGGAGUUAAUGCUUCAUGAAGUUCAUCA